CAGCCGCCACGGUAAUACCGAGGGUGCAAGCGUUAAUCGGAAUUACUGGGCGUAAAGCGCGCGUAGGUGGUUUGUUAAGUUGGAUGUGAAAUCCCCGGGCUCAACCUGGGAACUGCAUCCAAAACUGGCAAGCUAGAGUAUGGUAGAGGGUGGUGGAAUUUCCUGUGUAGCGGUGAAAUGCGUAGAUAUAGGAAGGAACACCAGUGGCGAAGGCGACCACCUGGACUGAUACUGACACUGAGGUGCGAAAGCGUGGGGAGCAAACAGGAUUAGAUACCCCAAGUCCUGUCCUUAUACACAU
rnacentral:rRNA from 1 species